rnacentral:rRNA from 1 species
UACGUAGGCAGCAAGCGUUGUUCGGAAUUACUGGGCGUAAAGAGUGUGUAGGCGGUGCUCCAAGUCUGGUGUGAAAUCUCCCGGCUUAACUGGGAGGGUGCAUUAGAAACUGGAAUGCUAGAGGAUGAGAGAGGUAAGCGGAAUUCCUGGUGUAGCGGUGAAAUGCGUAGAUAUCAGGAGGAACACCUGUGGUGUAGACAGCUUACUGGACCAUUUCUGACGCUGAGACACGAAAGCGUGGGUAGCAAACAGG